GGGCGCUUAGCUCAGUGGAAGAGUACUUCCUCGACACGGAAGGGGUCACUGGUUCGAACCCAGUAGCGCCCACCA
rnacentral:tRNA from 1 species